ACGUGGUCUCCUCAAAUCGGUUGUUCCAGCCCCCGGACGGAGCAUAUAUAUUUCGUUUUGGUUUUUUAUAUUUUUUGUUGGUCUCUGACAGGUGGGCCAGGGUGUUUUUGUGAUGAAAAAAUAAUUGUAAGUGUUUUCUGCUAAAAAAAUCAGGCAACAUGUUUUUUCUGCUAAUAAUUGUAGGUGUUUUGUGCUAGCCAAACAUGUUUGUCUAGCUGAUAAGAAAAUAGGCUAGAAAAAGACGCUCAAUAUAACUUACUCAUUCAUUCUCCUUGUUUCCUUGAAUUGUUGUAUAGAUGGACUCUAACUCAUCCUUUAACAAUUUCGGAGUAUGAGAGUCUGAAGAAACUAUUAUUGGAAACGGAUUUUGACCACAUGGUUCGCUGGUAUUCUGGGACCUCAACAGAUUUGCUUAAAACUGUUUUCGACCUCCUGAUAUCAGUCUGGCUUUUUGUUGAUCGAUUUGACAUGCGUAUGAUGCAGAUAUCUAAAUCCAUCUCAUUUACAUAUGAGUAGCAUUUUUAUGCCCUUUGGAGUAUGCUCUCCAUCCUCUUACUUGAUAAGUUGAUAUACGCCUGAGCACAUAGCAUUGGAAAAACCUGAGCUUCCUCUUGGAGCUUCUGGGCUCAGGCAGUAUAGCCGACCACAAUGUUUUAUGAUUUCUGGAAACCAAGAGCUAUGUAAAUAAGGAUGACAAAGGAUGGUCCACAACUUGGGGUUACCUCAGCCUCUGUACGUAUGUGCCUCCAGUCGCUUUGGACGAGCAUGAUCUGGGUAAGGAUGCACUUCGUGCUCGGCUGCAAAUGCCCUCGAGGACUUAUGUAGAAUAAGUCGAGUUGUAGCACCACAAAGAUAUCCUUCAAGUGAGCCGAGUCACGCAUAUGCUUGUCGAUUUUAUCUUUGAUUAAAUAGCGACCCUGUAAUACAUGCCAUGCCCAUUCAGUCAAGCUUUCUCCUCCUCCGAUGCCCUUGGCGACCAUGCCGGUUGUCAGCUCUAGCAGAACAACACUAAAACCGUAGAUGCCAGUCUUCUCGCUCGCCCUUCCAUUGUACUGAUAGUAUUCCAAAAUUUGCAUUCAGUUAGUGGUCAAUGAAAAUGUUUAAGAUGCCUUGUUGGAUCUGAGAUUCUCACCAGUGGUCAUAUACAUGUGUGUCCCACAAACGGCCGACAUGUGGUGGAAUAGGCCUGGGUUGACAACCAUUCGAGCAAGCGUAAAGUCAUCGAUCUUGGCAUGGAGCUGUGGGUCAAGCAAAAUGUUGCCUAACUUGAUGUCCCGGUGGAUAAUAGUAUGUCUGCACUCUUGGUUGAUGUUGUUGAGGCCCCUGACAUCAUCAAUAGUGAUGAUCAGCCUUGUCGCCCAGUCCAAUGGUUUAGGGGAGCCUGCGGUCACGACAAUGCAGCUAGUCGUCGAGGUUACCCUUCUUCAUGUGCUCGUAAACAAGUAGCUUGGAAUCUUGGCUGGAAAUUAUGCACAGCAGCUUGAUGAUGUUCUUGUGAUUACUGCCCCCCGAUGUCUUCACCUCCGAGUUGAAUUGCUUGUGGUCCAGAUUUUCUGUGUUGCAUAUCUUCUUGACAGCCACUAUUCUGCUGCUGUGAUCCUCAGUGGCACUAUCAAGUCUAGGAUGUGGACAUGGUACACCUUCCUAGACCCGCCGCUGCCGAUAAUGUUCUCCUCAGAUAUAUUGUUGAACAAGUCGGAUUUCAUGUAGUCUGGAGGUGUGAAUGGUGUCAUUUUCCAACGAGCCACGACUUCUUUCACCACUUGUGUGUUCUUUCGACAUCGAAAGAGCAGACGUAUGAUGAUGCUCAUGCAAGCGAUAAUGACAGUGACACUAACCACUAACAAGAUUAUCAUACACUUCUGGAGGUGGGUGCCUCUUUGGCAUGUUGGGAGAUAUAUCCUCGAGGCCCACUUGACACAAAGCCCAUGGUUUUGAAGGAAGUUUUGGUUGUGAUUUGCACUUUGCAAAGUGAGGGGCACCUCCCCAUUGAGUUGGUUAAAUGACAAAUUGAGGGACGCAAUUGAAUGGUUGCCGAGGUCGGGAGGAAUUUUGCAUGUUAGCUCGUUGUUGGACAAAUCAAGCACUACCAGUGAUGAAAUAAUCUUAAUGCUCCAUGGCGGUAUUGCACCUGAUAUACGAAUGUUGCUAAGGUCAAGUUAUUUGAUAUUCUGCAACAAUAUAAUUGAUGUUGGUAUUGAUCCAGGUAUCUUGUUCCCACUUAGUGACAAUUUAGAAAGCCUGUGGAGAUUGCUUAUGUUGACAGGUAGCUCUCCUGAGAGUUGUUUAUUCUCCACCAUUAACACAAGUGGCCCAGUCCCAAACGUCGGGAUCGAGCCAGAGAAGUGGUUGCGCUGCAUCUCAAUUCGAGAGUUAUUUGAAGAUAUCUGUUUGGGCAUAGUGCCAGUAAAGUUGUUGUCUGAUAUUAGCACCAUAUGCGCCAAGGACAUCCACCAUAUAUUUCCUAGAAACUUCCUCGAGAAGUUUUUGUUGUCGAGCAUAAUGUUUUCCAGCGAGAGGUAGUCGCAAAUGAUCAUUGGGAGCUCGUCAGAUAAGAUAUUGUUAGGAACUACAAUGUUGAUUAGUUUCCAUGAGCGCAUAACUACUCCGACACUGAGCCAAACAAGUUGUUGAUGUAGACCUUAAAAUUUCCAACCAGCGAGUGCUUCCCAUGUUCUUGUGGUACCUCUCCCUAGAGCAUAUUGUCGAAUAACUGGAUGUAUUGGAGGUUAGGAAUGAUGCCCAUGCUUAUGGGGAUGGGGCAUGUGGAAUCAAUAUUGUAUAAGAUGAUGAUAGUUAGUUUCUUGAUAGUCCCAAAGCCAUAUAGUAUGCAUCUAGUGAGUUUGUUUGCCGACAAGUCUAUCUUAAUCAAAUUCACUGUAGCGAUGUUGCACAGCAGCUCCCUGGUGAGUCUAUUGUCAUAUAAGUACACGAUCUAGAGCCUUUGGUGCUCCUAGAUCCAGAGGGAAUUGAACCACUAAGCUUGUCCCCCAUAGGUCCAACAUGGUUAGUUCCUUUAGACUUGAGAAUGCCUAUGGAAUCUCACAGGUGAAGCCGUUCCUCUCAAGAAGCAUGUUCUGGAGUGUCGAAAGAUUAACCAUCGGCAUCAACAGAACUCCACUGAAGUUGUUGUUAGUUAGGUUGAGGUGCUUCAUAGAUGGUGAUAGUUGGCUGAUGUCUUGAGGUAGGACUCCAUGAAAGCCGUUGUAGGGGAGAUCAAGGUAACGAAGACAGGAGAAGGCAUAGAGAGUGAUGCCAGGGAAUUUUCUAGUGAGCUUGUUGUACGAAAAGUCGAGGUGGAUUAGGUACUUGAGAUUGCACAUAUAAGGAGGUAUGUUGCCAGUAAGAUUCAAAUGCAUGAAGGAAAUCCCCGUAAUUAGGCCUCCACCGCUUGCCACAGUUGACAAGACACCAACUACAAUGAUGUGUUGAGCAAAACAACCGAUCAUUGCAGCUGGGCUGGUGUCAGUUGUGUAGCAGGAGGUGGAAGCCUAGUUAUGGAGCUUUCCUUCAAGAAUUUGAAUUUUAUAGGCAACAUCCCUCCAUAUGUGUGCAACCUUAAGUACCUAAUCCACCUCGACUUCUCAUACAACAAGCUCACACGGAGAUUCCUUGGCAUCAUGCUCUACGCCUACUCCUGGGUUCGGUACCUUGAUCCCUACUACAAUGGCUUCCAUGGAGUGUUUCCUCAAGAGAUUAGUUGGCUAUCACCAUCGAUGAAGGAUCUCAUCCUCACUAACAAUAACUUCAAUAAUAUUCUGCUGAUGGCGAUGGACGAGCUUUACACACUCUAGAAACUGCUUCUUGAACAAAUGGCUUCACCAACGAGAUUCGAAAGGCAUUCUCAAGCCUAAAGAAACUAACUAUUUUUGGACAUGUGGGGAAACUAGCUGAGUGUUCCGAUCCUCGUGUAGAUGUGGUAGCACUAAAAUCUCGAGAUCGUGUACAUGUAUGACAGAGGACUCAUCAGAAGUUGUCAUGCAACACCACUAUGGUGAAUUUGAUUAAUAUAGAAUUGUCGACAAACAAACUCAGUGGCUGCAUACCAGAAGACUUUGGGACUCUCAAUAAACUAACCAUUAUCAUCCUAUACAACAUUGAGUUUAUAGCCCGCCUCAUUCCCGACCUACAAUGCAUCCAGUUGUUCGAAAAUAUGCUCUAGGGUUAGGUACCAUAUGAACGUGGUAAGCACUCACCGCUUGGUAAUUUGAAGCUCUACAACAACAACUUGUCUGGCUCACUACCGGAGUAGUUAUGCUCUCAUGAGAAAAUAUUCAACAUAGUAGUUUGUAACAAUUGCUUCUCCUACAAGCUCGCGAUGAUCAUUGACAACUACCUCUCAAUCGAUAAUAUUAUGCUUGACAACUACUACUUCUCGGGCAAGUUUUCGAUGAAUAGAUGGUCAUUGUCGUGCAUACAAUGCAAACAUUGAACAACAACUUCACUAACACUAUGCUGAAAGAGAGAUCUUCGAACAUCUCUCGUAUUGAGAUGCACAACAACCACGUCUCUGGCUGGAUCCCGACGUUUGGGACUGAGAUACUAGUGUUGAUGAUGCAGAAUAACCACCUUUCGGGAGAGCUACCUAUCAACAUAAGCAAUCUCCACGGGAUUUCUGAAUUGUCACCUAGUGGGGACAACAUACCUAGAUCCAUACCACAUCAAUUACAUUUUUGUGGAAUCUCAAAUCACUUGACAACGGCAACAAUCGUGUAUCACGUGCACUACCGCCAUGGAGCAUGGAGAUGAUUUCCUCACUCAUAGUACUUGAUUUGUCCAACAACGAUCUAAGAUGCAAAAUUCGACCUAAGUUCAGCAACCAUUCAAUUGUGUCCCUUAAUUUGUCCUUUAACCACUCAAUGGGGAUGUGCCCCUCUCUUUGCGAAGUGCAAAUUACAAGCACAACUUCCUUCAAAACCAUGGGCUUUGUGCCAAGUGGGUCUCGAGGAUAAAUCUCCCAAUCUCCCAUGGAGGCACCCACCUCCACAAGUGUAUGAUAUUAUUGUUAGUGCUCGGUGUCACUUUCAUUAUCGCUAGCAUGAGCAUCUUCAUAUGACUGCUCUUUUGGUGUCAAAAUAACACACAAGUGUUGAAAGAAGUCGCGAAUGAUUGAAACAUGACACCAUUCACACCUCUGGACUUCAUGGAACUCGACGUGCUGAACAACAUAUCUAAGGAGAACAUUGUCAACUAUGACGGGCCUUGGAAGGUGUAUCAUGUCCACCUCCAUGGCCUUUGUGGUCUCACUGAGGAUCGCAGAAGCAGAAUAGUGACUGUUAAGAAGGUAUGCAACAUGAAAAAUCUAGACCACAAGCAGCCCGACUUGGAGGUGAAGACAUUGGGGAACAUCAAUCACAAGAACAUAAUCAAGAUGGUCUGCAUAAUCUCCAGCCAAUAUGCCAACUUGCUUGUUUACAAACACAUGGAGAAGGGCAGCUUCUACGACUGGUUGCACCACUAUGACUACAAGGGCGCCCCUGCACCAUUGGACUGGUCGACGAGGCUUUCCAUCACUAUUGAUGAAGACAAGGGCCUCAACUACAUCCACCAAAAGUGCGGACAUGGUAUUAUCCACCGGGACAUCAAGUGAGGCAACAUUUUUCUUGACCCAGAGAUCUAUGCCAAGUUCGUCGACUUUGGGCUUGCUCAAAUAGUUGUUAAACAAAGCCAAUAAAACCAUAUGUCAGCCAUUUGUGAGACACACGAAUACAUUGUCCCCCGAUCAGAAUCUCAAAUCCAGCAGGCCUUCUCAAACGCUAAAUGAAUGCAAAUUUCACAUAAUAUUAUCAGUACAAUAGAAGGACGAGCUAGGAGACUAACAUCUACUCUUUUGGUGUGUCAUUCUGCUUGAGGUGACAACUCGCGUGGUUGCCAUAGGCGUUGGACGAGGAAAAAGCUUGGCUGAAAUGGCAUAGAAGCUAUUACACGACCGCUUUUUAACCAAAGACAAAAUCGGCGAGCACAACCAUGGCUCGGUCCACUGGGAGGAUAUUUUGUGGCGUCGAUACUCGGUGUAUCAUGCAUGAGUCCUCAAGCACAUCUGCAGCCGAGCAUGAAGCACAUCCUUACCGAGCUCAUGCUCAUCCAAUGCGAUGGGAAGCACAUAUGUACAAAGGAUGGGGCUGAACCCAUGUUGCAGAGGAUCGUGUCCGAGAGGGGCACCUCCAUCAGCCGGUAUGGCCGCCGACGAGACUCUGUAGCCCAUACAUCGGUCUGGGGUAAUUAAGGUGGACCAUUUUGCUUCUGGUGAUCACUUGUCUCCUCCGGCUGUCUAACCAGAUGGUAUGGCUUAUGUCGCUGCGCCUGCUACAGUUGCGUUUGGCAUAAACGUGACCAUGUCUUAGAUGAGUUUGGGCUUGUAGAAUGACUGAAUGAGCAUCAAUAAUCGCGCUUGCUUUUCCUUUUCUGGGCACAGUGUAAUGGAGUGGGGUUUAGUUCUUCAGUCCAAGAUGUUGUAGCUAGCGUAGCUAGUGGCUUCAUGCCAUCACCAAAGGAUUACCUAGCGAUAUAAAAUUAGGAAGUGUCUAUUUAACAUUUGACUGAAAAUAAA